CAUUUUUCCUAGGAAUCCGUUGAAAUCCUCAUUUUCUACUUUUAACUCAAACCCCCCCAAGUGAUUUUUCCCUCUCCCCUGCAGAUUCAUGUCCCCCCUUCCCAGUUCCCCUUCUAGAACUUUCCUGAAGAGGAAACCCAUUUCUUUUGGGGGGAGGGGUUCCCCACUUUUUGUCUUCAGAUAAUGCAUGCUUAAUUCACCCCCUCCCUUCAUCCACCUCCCAAAAUGAAUAAAGGAAGCAGGAAUACAGUAACUAGCAAAGAUUGAGAAUAAACUAUGCUUCCCCUCGCAGUUUAAUACAGUUUUAACUAAUGGAAUUUUUUUGUUUUGUUUUAAGAGAAGAAUAAUGGGGAAACACGGAUCUUUUAUUUUAGGAAACUGUUAUGCCAGGGCGCCUGUCGGAUAACCUGGCGUUUGGGUUCCUAAUGGAGGACAACUCACCGCAACCCAGCGAUGCCGCCCUGACAACCCAAGUUCCCUCCUUUAGAGGUGGCUAGGGCAGUUCAUUGCAAAAGAAGAAGAAGAAAAAAAAGUUGAGUGAGGGAUAACCGGUUUCUAAAACAUU
rnacentral:lncRNA from 1 species